CAGUUCGGAUUGUAGUCUGCAACUCGACUACAUGAAGCUGGAAUCGCUAGUAAUCGCGAAUCAGAAUGUCGCGGUGAAUACGUUCCCGGGUCUUGUACACACCGCCCGUCACACCAUGGGAGUCAGUAACGCCCGAAGCCGGUGACCCAACCAGUUCAGGAGGGAGCCGUCGAAGGUGGGACCGAUAACUGGGGUGAAGUCGUAACAAGGUACC
rnacentral:rRNA from 1 species